CGGCGGGCCCGCGGGCGGCGGCCACGGAGCGCGCGAAGCCCUGCAGCGCUUCACACUUGCCGCGCAGCGCGUCGAGCUCCAGGCGCAUGGCGGCGUUCUCGCGCGCCAGCUUGUCCACCUCGCGCUCCAGCUCGGACUUCUGCUUCUGCAGCUCCUCCUUCUGGCACACGCGCUUCACGCGGCAGCUGGCCGCGUAGCCGCGGUUCUUGAGUGUGCGGCGCCGCUGCUUCAGCCGCGUCACCUCCUCCGCCGACAGCCCGCGCAGGUUGCGGUUCAGCUCGCGCACCGACAGCCCCAUCAGCGCUUCAUCCGACAGGUGCGGCGUGUUCUCGCUCAACUCGCGCUUGACCUGAGGGCCAUGGGGAAACAGAGGCACGGGGCCCGUGCUUGAGGAUGCCGCCCCACUUCCCAUGGCGCCCCCCUUCUCAUUGCGCCCCCACUCUCCCCGUUUCGGCGGUUACUGGACUUGAGCCAAGACCUUGAAAGUUAGCAGGACCAGCAUCAGCCUACAGGAGGUCACCCAAGGCUCAAACUAACCACGCGUCAAGUCCUGGACCCAGCUGAGAAACCCAGCCUGGAAAGCCCCUUGCAAUGGGGGAAGCGCGCUCAACAGGAAGUAACCUGCCUCUGCUGCUGAGUCGCCUUUGGGGCUUCCAGGAAGGAAAGGGGAAUUGGGAUGUCGGUGCUCUACCAGGAGCAGCAGCAGAGAGAGACUACAAGGAGCUAGCAGCCUCACCUUCAGGGCUUUGCUAGAUAAGGGAUCCACAGCCAUUUUCGCAGAAGAUGACCUCUGGGCUGGAGACCUGGGAGAGAAAGAAGUUCAGGGUCACCUUGGUUGGUGUGUUCAUGUUUUACUUACAUGAGUAAAAUCCAAUCUCCGGACCUGGCA
rnacentral:lncRNA from 1 species